UACGUAGGGUGCAAGCGUUGUCCGGAAUUAUUGGGCGUAAAGAGCUCGUAGGCGGUCUGUCGCGUCUGCUGUGAAAACUCAGGGCUUAACCCUGAGCUUGCAGUGGGUACGGGCAGACUAGAGUGCGGUAGGGGAGACUGGAAUUCCUGGUGUAGCGGUGAAAUGCGCAGAUAUCAGGAGGAACACCGGUGGCGAAGGCGGGGUCUCUGGGCCGUAACUGACGCUGGAGGAGCGAAAGCAUCGGGGGGGCGAACAGG
rnacentral:rRNA from 1 species